GGGGCUGACUUGAAUUUCGACAAGAGUGCGAUGGCUCUGGCUGCAUGCCGACUUGGUUAUGUCGUAAAACCAACCGAUAAAUAUAAACGCAAACAACGCAAAUUACGCUCCUGCUUACGCUAAAGUUGCGUAAGUUUAACUAAGCUUUUGGAGCUGUUUUUAAACAAGGAUUCUAGCGACUUUUUAAAAACAUCAUUCAAGCUAGAUGCGCUUAAUAUUGCCAAAUGUUAAGUUAAGUUUUUGGUUGCCUUGAAGCAUUAUUUUUGGAAGUUUGGUGCUUUAAAGAAAGAAUAAAAUCCAAAAAAGCAUGUAUAUCGGCUGGGGUUGGUCUCAUUUUUGGACUGGGGUUUGAUUCCCCACAGCUCCACCA
rnacentral:tmRNA from 1 species